CUAAAGGGCUACAAUCAUUGUAAAAGGGCCCCUGAGAAACCCUCAGGAGAAAAUUCAAUCAUAUAAAUGCAGAGCUGAGUCUCUUUGCAAAGUAAAAGGGGAGAGUCUGGGUCAACAAAUGAUGGAUUAAGAGAAAAGAACUGGCCACUGUCUGGACCAUGUAAUGUCAUGUUCAGGACAUGAUCAAGAGUGUUUUUCUGUGCUUCUAUUAGCUCUGCUAGGGAUCCAUCCCAUCUGCAGACACAAAACUCAGACACUACUGCUGAUGCCAAGAAGCACUUGCUUACAGGAGCCUGAUAUAGCUGUCCCCUGAAAGGCUGUGCCCUGAAAGGCUGUGCCAAAGCCUGAUCAAUACAGUUGAGGAUGCUUGCAGGUAACCAUUGGACUGAGCACAAAGACACCAAUGGAGGAGUGAGGGAAGGACCAAAGGAGCUGAAGGGGUUUGCAGUCCCAUACAAAGAACAACAAUAUGAGCCAACCAGUACACUCAAAGCUCCCAUGGACUAACCACCAACCAAAGAGUACAGACAUGGAGGGACCCAUGGCACAUAUGUAGCAGAGGAUUGCCUUAUCUGGCAUCAAUGGGAGGGGAGGCCCUUGGUCCUGUGAAGGCUCAAUACCCCAGCAUAGAGGAAUUCUAGGGUGUUGAGGUAGGUGGGUGGGUGGAGGAGCACCCUCAUAGAAACAGGAGGAGGGUGUGGGAUAGGGAUGUUGCAGAGGGGAAACCAGGAACAGGAAUAACAUUUGAUAUGUAAAUAAGUAAAAUAACCAAAACAAAUGAACAAAAAAAGUUGUGUUAAUGCUAAGGAACAAAGCCAAGACUUGAAUCUACAUGAAAAUAAAAAAUUAAAAAAAAAAGAUGUGGUUUGCAUAUGUUCACUUUUCCAACAACAUCAUUAUUCAGGAGAAUGGAUCUUUGGUUGAAAUCUGAAAUUUCUUGAGUGAAAAAUAUAUCCAGAGGUUUCGACCAGGAGACAUGUUGCUUAUUCUGUUUCAGUCACAGAAGGAUGAAUUAAUCCUUGAAGGAAAUGAUGUUGAACUUGUUUCAAGUUCAGCGGCUCUGAUUCACAAAGCCACAGCAGUUAACAACAAAGAUAUCAGAAAGUUUUAAAUGUCAUCUAUGUGUCUGAAAAGGGAAGAAACAAGAUUC
rnacentral:lncRNA from 1 species